rnacentral:rRNA from 1 species
AGAGUUUGAUCCUGGCUCAGAUUGAACGCUGGCGGCAUGCCUUACACAUGCAAGUCGAACGGCAGCACGGGAGCAAUCCUGGUGGCGAGUGGCGAACGGGUGAGUAAUACAUCGGAACGUGCCCUGUCGUGGGGGAUAACUAGUCGAAAGAUUAGCUAAUACCGCAUACGACCUGAGGGUGAAAGCGGGGGACCGUAAGGCCUCGCGCGAUAGGAGCGGCCGAUGUCUGAUUAGCUAGUUGGUGGGGUAAAGGCCCACCAAGGCGACGAUCAGUAGCUGGUCUGAGAGGACGAUCAGCCACACUGGGACUGAGACACGGCCCAGACUCCUACGGGAGGCAGCAGUGGGGAAUUUUGGACAAUGGGGGCAACCCUGAUCCAGCAAUGCCGCGUGUGUGAAGAAGGCCUUCGGGUUGUAAAGCACUUUUGUCCGGAAAGAAAUCCCUUGCUCUAAUAAAGCGGGGGGAUGACGGUACCGGAAGAAUAAGCACCGGAUAACUAUGUGCCAGCAG